GUAGGGGUGCAAGCGUUAUCCGGAUUUAUUGGGCGUAAAGAGUCUGUAGGCGUUUUAGUAAGUCACUUUUCAAAUACCAGGGCUCAACUUUGGAAAGGGAAGUGAUACUGCUAGAAUUGAGAAUUUGAGGGGCUACUGGAACUAUCGGUGUAGGGGUGAAAUCCGUUGAUAUCGAUAGGAACUCCAAGGGCGAAGGCGGGUAGCUGGCAAAUUUCUGACGCUGAGAGACGAAAGCUAGGGUAGCAAAAGGGAUUAGAGACCCCUGUAGUCCUAGCCGUAAACGAUGUCCGCUAGAUAGUGGUUAAUAUAUUUAUCACUGUCGCAAGCUAACGCGUUAAGCGGACCGCCUGGGGAGUACGAUCGCAAGAUUA
rnacentral:rRNA from 1 species